ACACAGUUAACAUUCAAUGAUUGUGGGAAAGUUUCCAGAGAAGAGAAUGAUGAGAAUAGAUGCAGAAGAGAACUGUCCCAAAUGGGGUUAGAGCUUUAGCAAGACACCGUCUACCCAGGGUCAAAGAGAAAAAGGAAUAAGUCCUGAAACAGCUGUGCAAGUAGACAUAUUCUCCUUUGUUGCAAUGCAGCUGUCUUAAGGUAAAUGCCACAGCAUCACCCUUUCUCCUUUCCUUUUCCUUCAGAUUCCUCAAGGAAAUUUGUCUGUACACCAUUCCCCACACCCCUAUUGACAUUUGAUUAUGCCAACAUAUUUCUGGGAGCUAAAAUUAGUCAGUAGAAGUCCUCCCAGAGUAGGAUCUUCAAAUGCCAAUGGAGUCACUUCCCAUAUUCCUCUGUGCUGUUUUCUUUCUCAGUGGAAACAGGCAAACAGAACAAGACCCUCAUCUGAUUGCAGGUAUUAAUAUGCAUGAAGUUUGGGCACGAGGCAUUUUGGGGUGGAGAAGAGGGGAAGUGGUGUCUUCUACUAGUCUCCAGUUAAUGCUUUCAGAGGGUUGUGGCAUGCUUCACAGCGAUGCAAAUUCUAGGGUUCAUCACAUGGGUUAUAGCACAAGGAUUUAAAAAAAAAAGCUUUCUUCAAUAUUUGCUUCUAGGAGGGAAAUCAUUAACUUACAUUGGCUUUCAGAGCUUCUAUUUCCAGGCAGUCAACCAAAACUGUGAGUCUCUGGAGUACACAAGGGUAGCAGCUCCAUCUCUGCUAAGUCAUCAGAUAAUAUCUUUUGCUGAUGUAUCGGAAUGAAAUCUAAAAAUUAAAAAAAUUAAAAAAUAGUGCUUUCCCUUAGGAACAAAGAUGAAAGAUUUGACUUUCAGCAGGCCAUGGGUUUUGAGAUUUUGUGGGUGAUGUGUUGGUGUUUUUCUCCCAGUAAUGAUAGAUUAGGCUAAGUCAUCCUAUACCAUCCAGGUUCUCUGUGUGACCAAUGGAACCCAUUUGCAAGAUGUCACAUCUUGUCAGAUUUAAGAGUAAAGUUUAUGUCUGGGAAGAGAGAUUUUCUUAGUGUGAAUAUUAGUUAAUCUUUCUGAGCAUCAAAUUCAUGAGUGAUGAGCUGGCAGCAUUAAAUGUUUUGGGCAGAAUACAUAACAUAAUAGAUGAUACUUUUCAUGUUGGUUUUUUAGAGAAAUUGGUUCAAAUCCUUCUGCCUCUUAGGCAGCUGAAGUGGGGAAAUAGAUGGAAUCCUGCAUUUUAAUUUAGGAAAUUAUUAUGAAUCUAACAUAUAAAUAUUAGGAAUCUAAUCAAUCUAAAAACAAUUUAGGAAGUAAUUAGGAAAACCCUACCUUAGACACUUAAAAAUAAACCCUUGCCUUCCACCUUAGAAUGAAUGCUC
rnacentral:lncRNA from 1 species